AAGUCGUAACAAGGUUUCCGUAGGUGAACCUGCGGAAGGAUCAUUAACACGUAUCCAAACGUUAAAACCCCCCCCGUGAACUUUCAAUCCUGCUCUUGUAACCCGCGUAGUUCGCAAUCUCUGGUAAAUCAUAGCCCGGAAAGUUGUUUGAUUCAGAGACCUCUGCCUACGUGAGAACAUUGGAACAGUUACAAUCGAGCGGUAGUUUCAUAGGCAUUGUUUCCCCAAGCAGUCAGUCGUACACUCGGGCAGGAGCUAUGCCAAAGGGUCCCCAUGCGCCCUUAUAACCCCACAGUUUAAUGUAAAGUUCAAUGUAAUACAUUGGGUAAAAAAACCGAACAACUGUUAACAAUGGAUAUCUUGGUUCUC
rnacentral:misc_RNA from 1 species